rnacentral:rRNA from 1 species
GACGAACGCUGGCGGCGUGCUUAACACAUGCCAGUCGAACGGAAAGGCCCUGCUUUUGUGGGGUGCUCGAGUGGCGAACGGGUGAGUAACACGUGGGUAACCUGCCCUUGACUUUGGGAUAACUUCAGGAAACUGGGGCUAAUACCGGAUAUGAGCUCCUGCUGCAUGGUGGGGGUUGGAAAGUUUCGGCGGUUGGGGAUGGACUCGCGGCUUAUCAGCUUGUUGGUGGGGUAGUGGCUUACCAAGGCUUUGACGGGUAGCCGGCCUGAGAGGGUGACCGGACACAUUGGGACUGAGAUACGGCCCAGACUCCUACGGGAGGCAGCAGUGGGGAAUAUUGCACAAUGGGCGGAAGCCUGAUGCAGCAACGCCGCGUGCGGGAUGACGGCCUUCGGGUUGUAAACCGCUUUCGCCUGUGACGAAGCGUGAGUGACGGUAAUGGGUAAAGAAGCACCGGCUAACUACGUG